GAGGGUAUAGCUCAAGAGGUAGAGCAGAUGCCUAGCAUACACAAGGUCCUGGGUUCAAUCUCCAGUACCUCUA
rnacentral:tRNA from 1 species